rnacentral:rRNA from 1 species
GCUGAACUUAAGCAUAUCAAUAAGCGGAGGAAAAGAAACCAACAGGGAUUGCCCUAGUAACGGCGAGUGAAGCGGCAAAAGCUCAGAUUUGAAAUCUGUCACCAUUUUGGUGUCCGAGUUGUAGUCUGUAGAGGUGUAUUCGAGUGUGGCUUUGGCUUAAGUUCCUUCGAACAGGGCGUCAUAGAGGGUGAGAACCCCGUUAACGGCCUUUGUCUUAUGCUCAUGUGAAUCUCCUUCAACGAGUCGAGUUGUUUGGGAAUGCAGCUCUAAAUGGGUGGUAAAUUCCAUCUAAAGCUAAAUAUUGGCAAGAGACCGAUAGCGCACAAGUAGAGUGAUCGAAAGAUGAAAAGAACUCUGAACAGAGAGUUAAAUAGUACGUGAAAUUGUUGAAAGGGAAGCACUUCCGACCAGACGCACUUGCAGCCGAUCAAUCUUCAUUCUUGAGGGUGCACUCGGUUGUCUGUGGGUCAGCAUCAGUUAUGGCGGUGGGAAAAAGACUAAGGGAAUGUGGCUCCUUUCGGGGAGUGUUAUAGCCUUUGGUGCAAUGCUGCCUGCUGUGACUGAGGACCGCGCUUCGGUGAGGAUGCUGGCAUAAUGGUCGUAAGUGACCCGUCUUGAAACACGG